UACGUAGGGGGCAAGCGUUGUCCGGAUUUAUUGGGCGUAAAGAGCGUGUAGGCGGCUAGGUAGGUCCGUUGUGAAAACUCGAGGCUCAACCUCGAGACGUCGAUGGAAACCAUCUAGCUAGAGUCCGGAAGAGGAGAGUGGAAUUCCUGGUGUAGCGGUGAAAUGCGCAGAUAUCAGGAAGAACACCUGCGGCGAAGGCGGGUUGCUGGGCCGACACUGACGCUGAAGCGCGAAAGCUAGGGGAGCGAACGGG
rnacentral:rRNA from 1 species